UACGUAGGGUGCGAGCGUUGUCCGGAAUUAUUGGGCGUAAAGAGCUUGUAGGCGGUUUGUCGCGUCUGCUGUGAAAAUCCGGGGCUCAACCCCGGACUUGCAGUGGGUACGGGCAGACUGGAGUGUGGUAGGGGAGACUGGAAUUCCUGGUGUAGCGGUGGAAUGCGCAGAUAUCAGGAGGAACACCCGUGGCGAAGGCGGCUCUCUGGGACGGUACUGACACUGAGACGCGAAAGCGUGGGGAGCGAACAGG
rnacentral:rRNA from 1 species